CAGGGGCGGAUUUUCUGGGGGGGUGCAGGGGGGUGCGCACCCCCCCAAAAUUUUCUAGCACCCCCCCAGAAAAAUUCGGAAAUGGCGUGCAUACUGUAGGUUAUUAUUAUUAUAACCUUUAUUUAAAGAAAAUUAUACAUUUAGCAGUAAGAGUACAACUUACUGAUAACUUCAACAAAUGCAAUUAUAUCAUAUGUUAUACUAAGACAAGUAUUUUUAAUUUAUAAAACUAAAUAUACUACGUAAAAAUGUCUAAAGAUUAAAUAUCCAAACGCAUAUUCAAUUUUAAUAAAAAGACCAGAUAAAAAGCUACGACUAAACUAAACUUUCGUGAAAAAACAAUUAGGUAGAAUACUAAGCCUAAAAAUUCAGUGAAAAGGCCAAGUAUAAUACUGUAAAUCUAAGCUACGAGCGCAAGUCUAAUUUUGGCGUGUGAAACGGCUGAAUCGAAACCGAGAACAGUGGCAGAAGACGAACAAAGUCAAAGUGAAUUUCCAGAUCGUUGGUGAGGUUCUGACCAACUUUUAAUUUUAAAAGUGUAUGAACCGGAGGGAGAGAGACAAUAAAAUAUGAAAACUUUGUGCUUCGACUUUCUGUUGUUUUGUGAAACACCAGAAAUCAGAAGUUCAUAAAAAUUGCUACGAGAAAUGGAAGGCAAAGGUCCGAAUAUCAGAUGGACAAGAUACAAGUAUACUCGCGAAACUGGUUCCCGACCAAGCGAAAACAACUCAAAACAACAGAGAGUACUUUAAUUUAAACUUCUGUUCCAGUAUGUAAUUUGGUUUGCAAUGAACGAAAUAACAUUCCGGGACCAUGACGAGGCGGCUGAUUCGAAGAAACCAGGUAACUGGACAACUUUUAUAAAGAUGCAACUGAAGACCAACAAGGAGUUUCGAAGUCUCCACCAAGCGAUAACAGAUAAUUAAAAGGCUUCUUGUGGACUACACUAGUAAAACGUCUCUCAAUGAAAUGCUGUCUAUACUGGCGGUUCAGAUACGGAACCAGAUAUGCCAUCAGAUCGCUACUGCCGAGUGCUUCAGUGCACUGAUCGACGAAAGCAAAGACAAGGGCAAGAGAGAAGAGCUUGCUUUCUCUGUUC